AGCAGCACACCCCUGUGACCUGCCCCAACUACUGAACCGAAGACCUUUUUUCCUAUGAACUAUGUAGGUACCAAGCUGAAGAGUGCUCUGGAAGCCUGUUGAAACUAUCCUGUGCUAAUGGUGCCAGCUUCACAGACACACAAAUGAUCAGAUUUUACAAGAGAAGUCAAUGUCAGAAUUUAAAAACUCAGUAAUAGCACAUGGCUGAAGCUCUGAGCACUCCAAAACAGGAAUAGGGAUUUAUGAGCUGUUGUGUAAUAAAAGUGGAAUGGUAUAAAUAAACUAUCUGCAAAGCUGUUAUGGAGCUUUGGGUGUGCUGCUUUGUGAUGCAGAUGCUGUUUAGGCAGGACCAGGAGUAGCACAGUUCAUCUCUGUACCUGUAGCUUUAUUUAUUUCAAAUUAGGCGUAAAAACCCCAAACCCACUUGGUUCUCUGAAUAAGGAGCAUUAGGAAGAGGUUAUGCACUUUCCAGGUGAUUGGCUUUGCAUACAUUCGUACAGCCCAGUGUGCAGAGACGGAAAUAAAUGCCCUUGUUUUAAAAAUACCUGUAAAAAACUCAAGAUGGAGGAUCCAAUGCAAAUUCUGUGAAGGGGAAAAAAGCAGCUUAUGGUGCAAGUAAAGCUACAUGGCUGUGAGUAACCAUGGAGACCAAUGCUUUUCUGCUGCAGAAAUAAAUGAACUCAACCUUUUCAUAUUUAUUAGUGGGGCUGAUGAUGAAAGAUACAGUCAAAUUAAAACAUAAAGCACUAGAAGUCAGAUGUAGUCACUGUCUCUGCCCCUGCAAUGCAGGUUACUGUAAUGGAUUAUUAUAAACGAGCUGGUGUUACAGUGAGGCAGAUAAGUUAUGAGAGGAACAGAAGACACUAGUUAUACCAACCUGUUAAUCCAAGUAGCGGCUGCUUUAUUAACAGAAAUGAAGAGACGGUUCACACAACAAACUCCUGAAAUCUUUUGGUUUUGAUAAAAAUGGAAAUAAACUUGUUUUAAUGCCA